rnacentral:rRNA from 1 species
GUGCUUGCAUUGGCUGAGUGGCGGACGGGUGAGUAACGCGUGGGUACCUGCCUUAUACAGGGGGAUAACAGUUGGAAACGACUGCUAAUACCGCAUAAGAUCGCAUGAUAAAAACUCCGGUGGUAUAAGAUGGACCCGCGUCUGAUUAGCUUGUUGGUGAGGUAACGGCCCACCAAGGCGACGAUCAGUAGCCGGCCUGAGAGGGUGAACGGCCACAUUGGGACUGAGACACGGCCCAAACUCCUACGGGAGGCAGCAGUGGGGAAUAUUGCACAAUGGGGGAAACCCUGAUGCAGCGACGCCGCGUGAGUGAUGAAGUAUUUCGGUAUGUAAAACUCUAUCAGCAGGGAAGAUAAUGACGGUACCUGACUAAGAAGCACCGGCUAAAUACGUGCCAGCAGCCGCGGUAAUACGUAUGGUGCAAGCGUUAUCCGGAUUUACUGGGUGUAAAGGGUGCGUAGGUGGUAUGGCAAGUCAGAAGUGAAAGGCGGGGCUCAACCCCGGGACUGCUUUUGAAACUGUCAAACUAGAGUACAGGAGAGGAAAGCGGAAUUCCUAGUGUAGCGGUGAAAUGCGU